GGCAAUGUGUAGAAUGGUAAUUUCCAAGAUUUAUCUAGCAUUGGUAACUAAGCAGAUAUCCCUAAGUCAUGCUGCCACCUCCUACCAUGCUAUAGCAUGAAUCUUAAAAGUUCUUAUUAAUAAAAUUAAACCUGAGCCAAGUAUUGAGUUGAACACUGGAAGAUCAGAGAGACAGAACAAGCCACAGCUAACCUCACCUGGCCAACUUCUCAGCUGAUCUUGUUUGUUCUGACGGGAAUCCUCUGUGUCCUCAUAUCCGAAUGGCUCUCAGCUGAAUUGUACUGCUCAAAACCUAAAAGCUUAACUAGCCAAAUGCUUAACCAGCCAAAUGCUUAACCAGAGAAAUGCUUCUAGUUUCUGGUCUUCACACAUCAUAUAUCUUUCCUUUCUACCAUCACACCUUGGGAUUAAAUGUUCGCUUUCUGGGAUUAAAGGCAUGAGUCACCCUGCCUGGCUGUUUCCAAUAUGGCCUUGCACUUUCAGAGAUACAGAGGGAUUUCGGCUUCUGGAACGCUAGGAUUAAAGUGUGAGUGCCAGCAUUUUCUAGCCUUUUUAUCUAGUAGCUGUUCUGUCUCUGACCUCAGAUAACUUUAUUAUGGUGCAUAAUAUUUUGUGAACACAAUAACAGUACACCAUGCUGAUGUCAUUGACCCCCAUUACCACUGUUAACCUAGUUGAUGUCCAUGAAUGCACCUCCAAUGCAUUCCUAUAGGUUCUGUAAGCCAUGUUGAUGCAUGUGGUCAUUAUUACCAUGGGAUAACACCUUGAUUGCUUUCAAUUCUCCAUCCCUGUAUCACCUUAUUUAUGCCAGUUUCUGUGUUGCCAAUAUGAAUUAUGUAAUUUCCAAGAAUUGAAAUACUAACAGAAACUGGGUUAAUAUCCUGAAUACAUGUUGCUACCUCUAAACAAGUUGAGGUCUUUAAUCCCAGCUGAGUCUCUUAAACAUAUACAUGUCCAUGAUUGGAACUACAGUGAUAUUCCUACUCCUUCUGGAACCAAUGUUGAUGCUCAUGAUCUUCUUACCACUGGACAACAUGGUGACUUCCAUGAUCUCUCCUGCUACAAGUGACCAUAUUAAGGUAAGUGUACCUUUUUGGCAAUAUAUAGAAUGGUAAUUCCCAAGAUUUAAUGAACCUUUGUUAACUUAGCUAAUAUCUGGAAUUCAUGCUGCCACCUGUACCCAUGCUGAUGUCAAUGACCACUGCUGCCUCUGUUAACUUUGUUGAUGUCCAUGAAAGGGCGUGACAGGAAUUCCUAUUGUUCCUGAAAGCCAUGUUGAUGCAUAUGGUCCUUGUUACCGUGAGAUAGCAUCCUGAUUGCCAUGACACCUCUGGCCCCAUAUGACCAUAUUAAUGUAUGUGUUUUGUGUUGCCAACAUAAAGAAUGUAAAUUUCCAAGAACAAAAAUACCAACUGAAACUAAGUUAAUAUACAGAAUACUUGCUGUCACCUCCAAACAAAUUGAAUUCAUUCAUCCCUGCUGCAUCUUUUAAACAUGCGGAUAUCCAUGAGCAGACAUACCAUGCUAUUCCUGCUAUUUCUGGAAGCCACAUUGAUGCCAGGGUUCUUUCUUGCCAUGGAUCUGAUGUUGAUGUCUAUCUGUUCUGCUACCUGAGACCAUGUUGAUGCAAGAGAUCUGUCUUUCCAACACGAAGAAGGUUAAUUUCUCUGAACCCAAAUAACAUGGUAAUCUAUGUGGCUAUCCAUUCUAUGUGCUGCCACCUGAUACUUUGUGAAUUCAUUGAUCCUGGCUGUUUCCGUUACCAAUAUGGAUGUCCAUGAUUGGAACUAUAAUUCUUUUCCUACUACUUCUGGUAGGAGUGUUGAUGCUCAUGGUCUUAUAAACCACUGAACACCAUGUUGAUUUCCAUGAUCUCUGUUGCUAGAGGUGAUGGUGUUAAUGUAAGCGUUUCUUGUUGUCAAUGUAUAGAAUGAUAAUUUCCAAGAUUAAACCAACUUUUGGUAACUAAGUUAAUACACAUAAUGCAUCCUCCCACCUGCAGCCAUGCUAGUGUCAUUGAUCACUGCUGCCUUUGCAAACCCUGCUGAUAUUAAUGAAUGGAGCUCCCCUGCAUUUCUAUUGGUUCUGUAAGCCAUGUUGAUGCAGGUGGUCCUUUAUACCAUGGGUUAACAUCUUGAUUGCCAUAAAUUCUCCAGCCCCUUAUGGCCAUAUUAAGGCAAGUGUUCCUUUUUGGCAAUGUGUAGAAUGGUAAUUUCCAAGAUUGAACAAGCAUUGGUUACUAAGCAGAUAUCCAUAAUUCAUGCUGCCACCUCCAUCCAUGCUGAUGUCAUUGAUUCCCUUUGCCAAUGUUAACCCUGUAGAUGUCUAUGAAUGCACCUGCAAUGCAUUCCGGUUUUUUCUGUAAGCCAUGUUGAUGCAUGUGUUCCUUGUUACCAUGGGAUAACAUUUUGAUUGCCAUGACCUCUCUGGCCCUUAUGACCAUAUUGUUGGAAGUGUUCUGUGUUGCCACCAUAAAGAAUGUAAAUUUCCAAGAACUGAAAUACCAACUGAAACUAUGUUGAGAUCCAGAAUAUUUGCUGUCACCUCCAAACAAAUUGAAUUCAAUCAUCCCUACGCAUCUUUUAAAUAUGUGAAUGUCCAUGAGUGAACAUACCAUGCUAUUCCUCCUAUUUCUGGAAGUCACAUUCAUGCCAGGGUUCUUCUUUGCCAUGGAUCUUAUGUUGAUGUCUAUCUGUCCUGCUACCUGAGACCAUGUUGAUGAAAGAAUUCUGUCUUUCCAACAUGAAGAAUGCUAAUUUCCCUCAGCUCAACUACCAUAGUAAACUAUGUGGCUAUCCAUUCAACAUGCUACCACCUGAAACCUUGGGCAUUUACUUGAUCCCUGCUGCUUCCUUUACACAUGUGGUUGUCUGUGAUUGGAACUAUAAUGUUUUUUCUACUACUUCUGGUAACAAUGUCGAUGCUCAUGGUCUUAUAAACCACUGGAGACCAUGUUGAUUUCCAUGAUCUGUUUCUACAAGUGAUUAUGUUAAUGUAGACUUUCCUUGUUGCCAAUGUAUAGAAUUAUAAUUUCCAUGAUGUAACCAACUUUUGGCAACUAAGUUGAUACACAUAAUGCAUCCUCCCACCUGCAUCCAUGCUGAUGUCAUUGAUCACUGAUGCCCUUGCAAACCCUGCUGAUAUUAAUGAAUGGAGCUCCCCUGCAUUUCUAUUGGCUCCAUAAGCCGUGUUGAUGCAGGUGGUCCUUUAUACCAUGAGUUAAUAUCUUGAUUGCCAUAAAUUCUCAAGCCCAUUAUGGCCAUAUUAAGGCAAGUGUUCCUUUUUGGCAAUGUGUAGAAUGGUAAUUUCCAAGAUUGAACAAGCAUUGGUUACUAAGCAGAUAUCCAUAAUUCAUGCUGCCACCUCCAACCAUGCUGAUGUCAUUGAUCCCUGUUGCCACUCUUAACCUUGUUGAUGUCUGUGAAUGCACCUCCAAUGCAUUCCUGUUGUUUCUGUAAGCCAUGUUGAUACAUGUGGUCCUUGUUACCAUGGUAUAACAUCUUGAUUGCCUUGACCUCUUGGGCCCCUUAUGGUCACAAUGAUGGAAGUGUUCUGUUCUGCCAACAUAAAGAAUGUAAAUUUCCAAGAAUUGAAAUACCAACUGAAACUAAGUUGAGAUCCAGAAUAUUUGCUGUCAUCUCCAAACAAAUGAAUUCAUUUAUUCCGGCUGCAUUUGUUAAACAUGUGGAUGUCCAUGAGCAGACCCACAAUAGUGUUCCUACUACUUCUGGAAGCCACAUUGAUACCAGGGUUCUUUCUUGCCCAUGGAUAUGAUGUUGAUGUCUAUCUGUUCUCCUACCUGACACCAUGUUGGUGCAAGUGUUCUGUCUUUCCAUCAUAACGAAAGUUAAUUUCUCUGAUCUCAACUACCAAAGUAAACUGUGUGGCUCUCCAUUGUUUUUGCCACCUGAAACACUGUGGAUAUAAUACAUCCCUACUGCUUCUUUUAACCAUGUGGAUGUCCAUCAUUGGAGGCACAAUACCAUGCCUACUACUUCUGGAAGCAAUGUUGAUGCUCAUUAUCUUCUUACCACUGGGCACCAUGUUGAUUGCUAUGAUCUCUUCUGCUACAAGUCACCACCUUAAGGUAAAUGUUUGUUGUUGUCAAUGUACAGAAUGGUAAUUUCCAAGAUUUAACUAACUUUAGGUAACUAACCUGAUACACAUAAUUCAUACUGCCACCUGCAGCCAUGCUGAUGUCAUUGAUCACUGCUGCCUUUAUAAACCCUUUUGAUAUUAAUGAAUGAAGCUCCCAUGCAUCCCUAUUUUUUCUGUAAGCCAUAUUGAUGCAUGUGGUCAUUGUUAUCAUGGUAUAACACCUUGAUUGCUAUGAAUUCUCCAUCCCGUUAUCAUCUUAUUUUUGUAAGUGUUCUGUGUUGGCAAUAUGAAGAAUGUAAUUUCCACGAAUUGAAGUACUAACAGAAACUAAGUUAAUAUCCUGAAUACAUGCUGCUACCUCCAAACAAAUUGAGGUCAUUAAACCCAACUGAGUCUAUUAAAAAUGUGCAUGUCCACGAUUGGAAGUAUAGUGCUAUUCCUACUCCUUCUGGAAGCAAUGUUGAUGCUCAUGAUCUUCUUACCACUGGACACCAUGGUUGAUUUCCAUGAUCUCUCCUGCUACAAGUGACAAUAUUAAGGUAAGUGUCCCUUUUUGGCAAUAUAUAUAAUGGUAAUUCUCAAGAUUUAAUGAACCUUUGUUAACUCAGUGAAUAUUUGUAAUUCAUGCUGCCACCUGCACCCAUGCUGAUGUCAUUGAUCCCUGCAGCCUCUGUUAACCUUGUCGAAGUUUAUGAAAGGGCAUGAAAGGAAUUACUAUUGUUUCUGUAAGCCAUGUUGAUUCAUAUUGUCUUAGUUUCCGUGGGAUAACUUUUUGAUUCCCAUGACCACUCUGUCCCCUUGUGACCAUAUUCAUGGAAGUGUUCUGUGUUGCCAACAUAAAGAAUGUAAAUUUCCAAGAACAGAAAUAGCAACUGAAACUAUUUUGAUAUCUGGAAUACUUGCUGUCUCCCCAAAACAAAUUGAAUUCAUUCAUCCCUGCUGCAUUUGUUAAUCAUGCACAUGUCCAUGAGCAGACAUACCAUGCUAUUCCUACUAUUUCUGGAAGCCAUGUUGAUGCCAGGGUUCUUUCUUGCCCAUGGAUCUGAUGUUGAUGUCCAUCUGUCCUCUUACCUGAGAUCAUGUUGAUGCAAGAGUUCUGUCUUUCCAGCAUGAAGAAUGUUAAUUUUUCUGAUCUUAACUACCAAAGUAAACUAUGUGGCUAUCCAUUCAAUAUGCUACCACCUGAAACCUUGUGGAUUUAAUUGAUCCCUGCUGCUUCCAUUACCGAUAUGGAUGUCCAUGAUUGGAACUAUAAUGCUUUUCCUACUACUUAUGAUAGCAGUGUUGUUGCUCAUGGUCUUGUAAACCACUGGACACCAUGUUGAUUUCCAUAAUCUCUGUUUCUACAGGUGAUGAUGUUAAUGUAGACUUUCCAUGCUGCCGAUAUAUAGAAUGGAUAACAUCUUGAUUGCCAUGACCUCUCUGGCCCCUUAUGGCCAUAUUAAGGUAAGUGUACUUUUUUGCCAACAUGAGGAAUGUAAAUUUCCAUGAACUGAAAUACCAAAUGAAGCUAAGUUGAUAUCUGGAAUACUUGCUGCUACCUCCAUAUAAAUUGAAUUCAUUUAUCCCUGCUGCAUCUGGUAAACAUGUGGAUGUCCAGGAUCCAUUGUCUUAUGGUAUUUCUGGCAUUACUGGAAGCCAUGUGGAUGCCUGUGGUCCUUCUUGCCAGUAUAUUCCAUAUAGAUUUCCUUGAACUCUUGCCACCUGUGACAAUGUUAAUGUUAAGUGUCCUGUGCUGUCAAUUGAAGAACAUUAAUUUCCAAGAAUUUAACCACCAACUGAAACUAAAUUGAUAUACAGAAUGCAUGGUGCCACCUCCAAACAUGUUGAAUUCAUUGAUCCCUCCUGCCUCUGUUGGACAUAUUGUUGUUUAUGAUUCUAAUUGUGAUAUUCCUAGUACAUUUGAAAUCCAUGAUGAUGCCCAUCAUAUUUGUACCAGUGGAUACCAUAUUCUUUUUUGUGAUCUCUGCUGCUGUCUUUGACCUUGUUAAAUUAAACGUUCUCUCACCAACAUGAAGAAUAUUAUGUUCCAAGAUUUAACCAUUGAAAUGUUAAGUUCCAAGAUUUCACUAAUCUUGGAAACUAAUAUUAUAUCCAUAAUUCUUGGUAUCAUCUGAAUCCAUGGUCAUUUUAUUGAUCCCACUUGUCUCUGUUAACCAUGUUGAUGCCUAUGAUCAGAACUUCUAUGCUAUUCUUAUUCCUUCUGGAAGCCAUGUUGAUUCCUAUGCUCCUUGUUACCACUGGAUAACGUCUCGGUAUUGGUGACCUGUGUGGUCAAUUAUGACCAUAUUAAGAUAAACUUUCUGUUAUUCUAACAUGAACAAAAUAAAUUUUCAAGAAUUCAACUACCAUCUAAAACUAAGUUAAUAUCCAUAAUUCAUGCUGCUGUCUAUAAACAUGUUGAUGCCAUUGUUUCCUGCUCCCUCUUAACGGUUUUGAUGUCCAUGAUCAGACAUUCCAUGGUAUUCCUACUAUUUAUGGGAGGCAUGUUAAUGCCUGUGGUUCUUCUUGCUCCUCAAUAUGAAGUUUAUAUCUAUCUUUCUUGCCAUGGUAUUGUGAAUGAGAAAAAUGUUAAUUUUCAAGAUUUAUUGUGCAGUCUGACAAUAAGUUGAUAUCUAUGAUUCAUGCUGCCACCUGCAACCAUGUUGAUGUCAUUGAUCCUACUUUGUUAAUCAAAUUGAUGUCUAACAUAGGACAUCAUGCUAUUCCUGCUUCUUCUGGAAGCCAUGUAGAUGCCUGUGGUCCUUCUUAACCACUACAUACAUUGUUGAUGUCCAAUAUCUCUCCCCUUGUGCCUGCAUUAAAUUAUUGUUCUGUGUUACCAACAUGCAGAAUGUUAAUUUGCAAGAUUUAACCCACCAUCCUAAUGUAAGUUGAAAUCCAUAAUUCAUGAUGCCACCUGAAACCAUUUUGAUGCCAUUUAUCCCAUGUGCCUCUGUUAACCAAAUUGAUGUCCAUGAUUGGAUGACCUACCAUGCUCUUCCUACUAUUUCUGGAAGCCUUGUUGAUGCUUAUGGUCUUUCUUACUGUAGAUAUGACAUUGAUGUCUAUAUCCAUGGAGAUCUUCUGCUACCGGAGACCCUAUUGAUGCAAGAGUUCUGUGCUGCCAACAUGAUGAAUGUUAAUUGCCAUGAUCUCAGCUACCAUCUGAAACUGUUGAUAUUUACAUGCUACCACCUACAACCUUGUUGAUGACAUUGAUGCCUACUGUCCUCUUUAUCAUGUUCAUGAACCUUUCUGUGCUAUUCCUAUUGGUUUGAAGUCCAUGUUGAUGCCUUAUGGUAUGUUUUGCUCCUGGAUAAGAUGUUGAUGUUAAUGGUCUGACCUGCCACCUGAGACCAUGCUGAGGUAAGUUUUCUGUAUUUCCAACAUGAAGAAUAUUGAUUUCCAUGAGUUGAUCUGCCAUUGGAACUGAAGUUGAUAUCUGUAAUUCAUUCUGUCCCUGGAACCAUGUUGAUACCACUAAUUCUUGAUUCUUUGUUUGUCACGUUAAUUACCAUGAUCUGACCUACCAUGCUGUCCCAACUGCUUCUGGAAGCCAUGUUGAUGCCUGUGGUUCUUGGUGCCCAGGGAUAUGAUAUUGAUGUCGAUGUUCUGUUCUGACUCCUGAAUCCAUGCUGAGGCCACCACAUUGAUGUCACUGAUACUUGCUGCAUGUUUUAACUAUGUUGAUAUCCAUGAACCAACCCUCCAUUCAAAACUAUGUUGAUGUCAUGGAUCCUUCCUACUUCUGCUAUGUUGCUGCCCAUGAUCUGACCUACCAUUCAACCGCUACUGCCAUGGCGAUGCCUGCGGUCCUUGUUGGCCCUGGAUGCGAUGUUGACGUCCAUGUUCUGUCCUUCCACCUGCGACCUCAUUGAGGAAAUCAUGUUGAUGUCACUGUUCUUUGCUGCAUCUUCUAACCAUGUUGAUGUUCAUCAUCCAACCUACCAUCCAAAACUUUGUUGAUGUUACUGAUCUAUGUUGUAGCUGUCAACCAUGUUGAGGUUACUGAACUUUGCUACCACCUGUAACCAUAUUGAUGUCUGCAGUGUGCAGUGUCAUCAGAAACAAUGUUGAAGUCAUUCGUCCAUACUUCUGCCUGAGACCCAGUUCAAGCAACCAUGUUGAUGUGACUGAUUCUCGCUGCCUGUCUUAACCUGGCUGAUAUCCAUGAUUCGACCUGUCAUCUGAAACUUUGCUGAUGUCACUGAUCUUUGCUAUUGCUGUCAACCAUGUUGAUGCUACUGAAACUUGCUUCCGCUUGUAACCAUACUGCUGUCUGUAGUCUGUUAUCAUCUGAGACAAUGCAGAAAUCAGUGGUGCAUACUACCACCUGAGACCCACUUCAGGAAACCAGCCUUGUUGAUGUCACUGAUCUUUGUUCCCUGUUUUGACCACGUGGAUGUCCGUUAUCUGACUUAACAUCUGAAAUUAUGUUGAUGUCACUCAUUCAUGCUGCCGCUGAUAACCAUGUUUAUGGCCAUAGUCUUUGUUGGAAUCUUAGACCUUGUGGAUGUCCAUUGUCCAUGUUGCCACCUGAAUCCAUGAUGAUGACCAUGAUGAUUGUAGUCUGUGCUUUUGCUGGGGAUUAGGUCAAUAUAAAUGAUCUGAGCUGCCAACAGAAACUAUUUUGAUAUCAUUAAGCCAUCCUGGUGCUGGAGACCAUGUUGACAUCUUUGUCCUUGCUGCCACCAAAAACCAUGUUUAUGUUCAUGCUCUGGGCUGCAUGCUGAAGACCAGUUGAAUAUCCAUGACCCAGAUGCUGAUGGAGACUGUAUCAAUGUCUGUGGUUAGUACUGCCACAAGAAGGCAUCCUGAUAGUGAUCUGUGAUGCCUCCCACAAACAUGUAAUGUUGGUGAUCUGUGUUGAUGUCGUGGACCUGAUGGAUGUCAGUUAUCCAAGCUGUCACCAGAAAUCUUGUGGACCAUGACUGUGCUGCUGCUGGAAACCCUUUAGAAGUCUAUGAUCCAUUCUGCUACUGGAAACCAUGUAGAAGUCCGAGAUCUGUACUGCCACUGACUUCUAUUGGCAGGGAGCUUCUUUUGCAGUGGUAUCAAUGACUGUAGACUCAUAACUGAAAUUCAGACAGACAUUGAAGGCUUCUGUGCCACCAUCCCCCGAAAAAGAAAAUCCAGACAGGAUCUUAUUCAAGGAGAGUCCUUGAAAGUUGUAAUAAAAAUACUUAUCUGUAGCUCUUUACAGUUGAUGGCUUCAGGCAGGGGUUGGGGAAGAACUCCUUUUUAAGGGGCUGACCACUGCAAGUUUGACCAUGCUCCAAUGAGUAUAAGGGUAACACCAAUUGUACUUGUUAUAUUGUAUUUUUUCUAUUCUGGGGGAGGAUGCCACAAGGGUGGGAGGGUGGACCUGGGAGGAAUGGGAAGCAAGUGUGAUUGAGGUAUGUUGUAUGACAUUCUCAAAUGAUUAAUAAAAUAUUAGGUUGGGAAAAUAA